AAAGAAACAGAGCAUAGUAUACCAAAAAAAUAAAAUAAAGAAACAGAGCAGAGGCAUGGUGUGGAUCGUUGAGAAGCUACAAAGGAUAAAAUAUAUUUCUGAUUACCUUUCAAAUAAAUAUUUAUUAACAAUUUGAUGCAUAACAAGGAAAUAAUAAAGAAAGGGAGAACAGAUGGAAGGCAAAAAUGAGAGGAUAAUAUUCUGCGUAUUUUUUAUAUUAUAAGCUUGUAUACAUAAGCAAACUCUAAACCCUAAUUUGUUUUCCCUCCAUUUUAUCUUGCAAUUUUUAUUAAAAAAUAAUACAAUUUUGUCUUCACUAGGAUUCGAACCCGCAACCUUUCAAUGCAAGACAAUAUUUCCAACCAUUAUGGCAAGUAUACCAAUUAUGAUUAAAAUUAUGUGUAAUAAUUGCUAAGCACCAUCAAUUUUAAAAGUAUAUCAUAUCAAAAUUAUUGUUAUUCAUCACGAAAUAUUUUUAUGUCUUUCCUGAUCAAUGAUUUUUUUUUCUACCGGAUCAUAAAUUUAGAGAAUAAUUAUCAUGUGAGAUUUGGAAAGUUAUUAUCACGUGUAAUUUGGAAAGUUAUUAUCAAACUCAAUUCUACUAAAUCAAUAUUUUUUUUUGCAAUACAACCAAACACAACCAUAAUCAUAUCACUAAUCACAUUCAUUAUUUUGUUUUUAAUAUUGCAGAUUUAAUAUUAACCGAUGAUUAAUUGAUAUAAUAUGCACUAGCAGACCAAUUGUGAUUUAAAUUAUGUCCACAAAGUGUUAA
rnacentral:lncRNA from 1 species